rnacentral:rRNA from 1 species
AGCGUAGGAGACAAACGUUAUCCGGAGUUACUGGGCGUAAAGGGCGUGUAGGUGGUUUCGUAAGUCUGGCGUGAAAUUUUUCGGCUUAACCGGGAAAGGUCGUCGGAUACUGCGGAACUAGAGGACGGUAGAGGCGUGUGGAAUUCCGGGUGUAGUGGUGAAAUGCGUAGAGAUCCGGAGGAACACCAGUGGCGAAGGCGACACGCUGGGCCGUACCUGACACUGAUGCGCGACAGCAUGGGGAGCAAACAGG